UACGUAGGGUGCGAGCGUUAAUCGGAAUUACUGGGCGUAAAGCGUGCGCAGGCGGUUUUGUAAGCCAGAUGUGAAAUCCCCGGGCUCAACCUGGGAACUGCAUUUGUGACUGCACAGCUGGAGUGCGGCAGAGGGGGAUGGAAUUCCGCGUGUAGCAGUGAAAUGCGUAGAUAUGCGGAGGAACACCGAUGGCGAAGGCAAUCCCCUGGGCCUGCACUGACGCUCAUGCACGAAAGCGUGGGGAGCAAACAGG
rnacentral:rRNA from 1 species